rnacentral:rRNA from 1 species
CACGUAGGGGGCAAGCGUUGUCCGGAUUUAUUGGGCGUAAAGAGCUCGUAGGUGGUUCAGUAAGUCGGGUGUGAAACCUCCAGGCUCAACCUGGAGACGCCACCCGAUACUGCUGUGACUAGAGUCCAGUAGGGGAGCAUGGAAUUCCUGGUGUAGCGGUGAAAUGCGCAGAUAUCAGGAGGAACACCGGUGGCGAAGGCGGGUCUCUGGGCAGUAACUGACGCUGAGGAGCGAAAGCGUGGGGAGCGAACAGG